AUACAGAGGUGGCACCUGACCACUAGGCUACCAAGGC
rnacentral:tRNA from 1 species